GAUUGGGCUGCUCAGAAUAUUUUUCUGGAGCUCUAGCGGUGCCUGGAUGCAGGGGAGGGAAUUUCUGGGUCAGAGGUGAGCCCUGGCAGGGGCAGGAAGAGGCACCAGCCAGACAGUGGGCAGAAUAGGGAAGCCUUGAACGCCAAGGCAAGGGCUAUGUUUUUUCUGCAACCUGUGUCUUUCUGUCUCCCUCUUUCAGGUAGUCUGGGUUGGAGGAGGCAGAGCCAUGACCAAGGGGACCUGGGUACUGGCUGAAGGAAUAGGCUGGGGUAGAGGGCACUUUUGGAAGGCACUUCUCCUGCCUCCCGGGAGCCUAGAUCUCACUCCAGGGUCUGGGCUCCCAGGUGGACCAUGAAACCCUGGCCUGACCAGCUGAUGCACACUGCUUCAGACACUCCUGCUGGAGCCCCAGUCCCUGACAAGGACCUAGGACAUUUUUGCUCCUGCCCAGCCUAUCGGGAGGGAGCCUUGAGCCUUUCAGCUCUGCUGUGUGACUUUGAGGUUGUUGCUCCCCUCUUGGGGCCCUGGGUGCCCUGUCUUCAGUGGAAAGCACUGUGCCACCUUGGAAAGCUCCCAUGGGCAGCCAGAGGGCAUCGCAAGAAGAGAAGCACAGAAGGGGCAGGAGAGACACUCAGAGGCACUUCCGCUCUUGCCCAGGACAUUUUCCCAGCCACACCUUUGCCCAAGCCGUGCCCCCUGCCUGGAGCACUUUUCAACCUCUUCUCUGCAGCUCCAAUACACCUGGGAUUGCAGUCUCCUCCAGGAAGUCUUCUCAGAUUCCCUCCUUCCCAGCCAGAGAGCACCUAGCCUUCUUUGGGGCCCCCACAGGCCCUUUGUGCAGUGAACAGCCCUGGCUGGGGGUGCAGCCAGUCGUGUCCGAACUCUCCAAUGACUAAGCGGGGAGAUGCGGACAUCCUAGCUCCUUCUCAGGCCUCCAACUGUGCCCCAUUUCCACCCCCAAAUACCUCCCCAGGAGGCACCUGUGCCCACCCCCUGGGCUGUUUCCCCCUUCCCCUUAAAUCCGGAUGCCUCGUCUUGCAUAGGGUCUUGGGGCAGCGGGGAAGGGGUUCUGAAGAACUCUGGCCAAGAGGACGAGGAUCUGGGGGUGGGGAACUGGGCCUAGCUGUGGGAGGUCAUCGCGGGGCAUUGCAGGGAGUGCGUUGUGGGAAUUCCGGGUGGAGACCCUCAGGGCAGUGUGCCGGGCCUCCGUUGCACCUCUGACCUGCAGCCACGUCAUCGUUGCGCAGCCCCUGGGGAGGGUCUUUGGGGAGGGGGUGCCGAGGCUACGCAUGUCCUCGAGGGCCGUGUACACUCUCCAGGCACCAUGGGCGGAGGCGCCAGAGGCUGGGAAGAAAUAAUGUUUUAGUUAAGAGUCCUGUUGGCUGCAGGACUCAGAGCAUGGACAGGUGGAUAGUAAAUCACCACCACGGGGACAGCCGUGCCCAGACUGUGCGUUUGCUUAGCUCGGGGACAGCACUUGGCCCGGGGUCUCCUGCUCGCCUCCCUUCAGAGCAUCUGCCAAACUUCGGGCAUCUACCCUGCAAUUCCCGCUUGGCUGAGAGGAGGGGGAGAAGGAGGGGAAGAGAGAGGAGCCCCACUUCACUCCGGCAGGCAGACCUGCUGGAGCUGCUUUGCAGAAUGACUUGGGUCUUGCUGGCCCCUGGGUGUGCCUGGAGGGGGGUCUUCCUAUCCCCCUCCACCUCUCCCCUUGGUGCCUAACCCAGGACUUUGUCCCCAGAGACCCACUGUGUGCCCCCUGGAGCUCCUCCUAGAGCAGAGUCUGCUGCUGUCUGUUCUGCAGAGGGUAGCCUGAGGCCCAAGGAGGUUGUCAGGGACACACAGCAGGGGGAGGCAGC
rnacentral:lncRNA from 1 species